AUGAACGCUAGCUACAGGCUUAACACAUGCAAGUCGAGGGGCAGCAUGGUCUUAGCUUGCUAAGGCCGAUGGCGACCGGCGCACGGGUGAGUAACACGUAUCCAACCUGCCGUCUACUCUUGGACAGCCUUCUGAAAGGAAGAUUAAUACAAGAUGGCAUCAUGAGUCCACAUGUUCACAUGAUUAAAGGUAUUCCGGUAGACGAUGGGGAUGCGUUCCAUUAGAUAGUAGGCGGGGUAACGGCCCACCUAGUCUUCGAUGGAUAGGGGUUCUGAGAGGAAGGUCCCCCACAUUGGAACUGAGACACGGUCCAAACUCCUACGGGAGGCAGCAGUGAGGAAUAUUGGUCAAUGGGCGAGAGCCUGAACCAGCCAAGUAGCGUGAAGGAUGACUGCCCUAUGGGUUGUAAACUUCUUUUAUAAAGGAAUAAAGUCGGGUAUGCAUACCCGUUUGCAUGUACUUUAUGAAUAAGGAUCGGCUAACUCCGUGCCAGCAGCCGCGGUAAUACGGAGGAUCCGAGCGUUAUCCGGAUUUAUUGGGUUUAAAGGGAGCGUAGAUGGAUGUUUAAGUCAGUUGUGAAAGUUUGCGGCUCAACCGUAAAAUUGCAGUUGAUACUGGAUAUCUUGAGUGCAGUUGAGGCAGGCGGAAUUCGUGGUGUAGCGGUGAAAUGCCUAGAUAUCACGAAGAACUCCGAUUGCGAAGGCAGCCUGCUAAGCUGCAACUGACAUUGAGGCUCGAAAGUGUGGGUAUCAAACAGGAUUAGAUACCCUGGUAGUCCACACGGUAAACGAUGAAUACUCGCUGUUUGCGAUAUACAGCAAGCGGCCAAGCGAAAGCGUUAAGUAUUCCACCUGGGGAGUACGCCGGCAACGGUGAAACUCAAAGGAAUUGACGGGGGCCCGCACAAGCGGAGGAACAUGUGGUUUAAUUCGAUGAUACGCGAGGAACCUUACCCGGGCUUAAAUUGCAGAUGAAUUACGGUGAAAGCCGUAAGCCGCAAGGCAUCUGUGAAGGUGCUGCAUGGUUGUCGUCAGCUCGUGCCGUGAGGUGUCGGCUUAAGUGCCAUAACGAGCGCAACCCUUGUUGUCAGUUACUAACAGGUUCCGCUGAGGACUCUGACAAGACUGCCAUCGUAAGAUGUGAGGAAGGUGGGGAUGACGUCAAAUCAGCACGGCCCUUACGUCCGGGGCUACACACGUGUUACAAUGGGGGGGUACAGAGGGCCGCUACCACGCGAGUGGAUGCCAAUCCCAAAAACCUCUCUCAGUUCGGACUGGAGUCUGCAACCCGACUCCACGAAGCUGGAUUCGCUAGUAAUCGCGCAUCAGCCACGGCGCGGUGAAUACGUUCCCGGGCCUUGUACACACCGCCCGUCAAGCCAUGGGAGCCGGGGGUACCUGAAGUGCGUAACCGCGAGGAGCGCCCUAGGGUAAAACUGGUGACUGGGGCU
rnacentral:rRNA from 1 species